rnacentral:lncRNA from 1 species
GGAAAAUGGCAUACAAUCUAAUUUACCUUUCCAGCUCUUGGCACAUGGGUAGAUUAAAGAUGUAUAGAGGAAGGAGGAGAGCAUUUUAGCUGGAGGCAGUAAAGGAAGUUGAAUUAUGAGUGAGAGAUAGAUCUGAUAGGAAAAGGAAGGAAAUUAAAGACAGGCUGGGUUAUGGAGCGCCUUGACUUCAGGCUGACUUAAAGCAGUAGGCAACAGGGAAUCGCCAAAGGCUGCUGGGCAAGUAACCGUGGUAACGGUCCUAUGGGGGCAAGAUGUCUCUGGCAGCCAGUGCCAGGUGGAUUGCAAAGGGACUGAGUAGGAGGGCUGGAACUCAGGACAAGGUGCUGAGGGAUGCUGGAAAGGAAAGCUUCGUGGACGCGCUGACUCCUGGCACAUUAAGAAUGAAGAAAGUGGUGCCAUCCAAAUGGUUUCUCCGACCUUGACCUCCACAGGCUGGGAGAAUAACAGCACCUCCACCAGGAAGUGUGGUUGGGCACCGAGGAGAGAAUGUGCUUUGUUUCAGGAAAGGUAAAAACAUCCCUGUGACAUCAUUCUCCUCCCAACUGAUGAGGAGCUGGAGAUGGCCCCAGUGGAGGUGAGUGGCUCUCGUUGUUGAAAGUGUAACCGAGG